rnacentral:rRNA from 1 species
AGUGAACGCUGGCGGUAGGCCUAACACAUGCAAGUCGAACGGCAGCACAGGAGAGCUUGCUCUCUGGGUGGCGAGUGGCGGACGGGUGAGGAAUACAUCGGAAUCUACUCUGUCGUGGGGGAUAACGUAGGGAAACUUACGCUAAUACCGCAUACGACCUACGGGUGAAAGCAGGGGACCUUCGGGCCUUGCGCGAAUGAAUGAGCCGAUGUCGGAUUAGCCAGUUGGCGGGGUAAAGGCCCACCAAGGCGACGAUCCGUAGCUGGUCUGAGAGGAUGAUCAGCCACACUGGAACUGAGACACGGUCCAGACUCCUACGGGAGGCAGCAGUGGGGAAUAUUGGACAGUGGGCGCAAGCCUGAUCCAGCCAUACCGCGUGGGUGAAGAAGGCCUUCGGGUUGUAAAGCCCUUUUGUUGGGAAAGAAAUCCAGCUGGCUAAUACCCGGUUGGGAUGACGGUACCCAAAGAAUAAGCACCGGCUAACUUCGUGCCAGCCGCCGCCGUAA